rnacentral:lncRNA from 1 species
CAACUCCUUAAUUUGAUUUCGAGCAAGUCUUUGAUCUGAUCAUGAUCAACAUCUUGAUCCAACCUUAACCAAUUGCUCGACUCGAUCCGUACUAAUUGUGUGUUGUAGGCUUGCAUCCAACCAACCAUUGACAUGCAACCAUACAUGAUGCAAGCCAUAAAAUAUAAUUAAUUACAACCCAUUAGAUCAAAUCUAACAAGACUCAUAGGUCUCC